rnacentral:rRNA from 1 species
GGUCAAGUGAAGAAGCGCAUACGGUGGAUGCCUUGGCAGUCAGAGGCGAUGAAAGACGUGGUAGCCUGCGAAAAGCUUCGGGGAGUCGGCAAACAGACUUUGAUCCGGAGAUCUCUGAAUGGGGGAACCCACCUAGGAUAACCUAGGUAUCUUGUACUGAAUCCAUAGGUGCAAGAGGCGAACCAGGGGAACUGAAACAUCUAAGUACCCUGAGGAAAAGAAAUCAACCGAGAUUCCCUUAGUAGUGGCGAGCGAACGGGGAUUAGCCCUUAAGCUUCAUUGAUUUUAGCGGAACGCUCUGGAAAGUGCGGCCAUAGUGGGUGAUAGCCCCGUACGCGAAAGGAUCUUUGAAGUGAAAUCGAGUAGGACGGAGCACGAGAAACUUUGUCUGAACAUGGGGGGACCAUCCUCCAAGGCUAAAUACUACUGACUGACCGAUAGUGAACCAGUACCGUGAGGGAAAGGCGAAAAGAACCCCGGAGAGGGGAGUGAAAUAGAACCUGAAACCGUAUGCGUACAAGCAGUGGGAGCCUACUUGUUAGGUGACUGCGUACCUUUUGUAUAAUGGGUCAGCGACUUAUAUUCAGUGGCAAGCUUAACCGUAUAGGGUAGGCGUAGCGAAAGCGAGUCUUAAUAGGGCGUUUAGUCGCUGGGUAUAGACCCGAAACCGGGCGAUCUAUCCAUGAGCAGGUUGAAGGUUAGGUAACACUGACUGGAGGACCGAACCCACUCCCGUUGAAAAGGUAGGGGAUGACUUGUGGAUCGGAGUGAAAGGCUAAUCAAGCUCGGAGAUAGCUGGUUCUCCUCGAAAGCUAUUUAGGUAGCGCCUCAUGUAUCACUCUGGGGGGUAGAGCACUGUUUCGGCUAGGGGGUCAUCCCGACUUACCAAACCGAUGCAAACUCCGAAUACCCAGAAGUGCCGAGCAUGGGAGACACACGGCGGGUGCUAACGUCCGUCGUGAAAAGGGAAACAACCCAGACCGCCAGCUAAGGUCCCAAAGUUGUGGUUAAGUGGUAAACGAUGUGGGAAGGCUUAGACAGCCAGGAUGUUGGCUUAGAAGCAGCCAUCAUUUAAAGAAAGCGUAAUAGCUCACUGGUCGAGUCGGCCUGCGCGGAAGAUGUAACGGGGCUAAACCAUGCACCGAAGCUGCGGCAGCGACACUAUGUGUUGUUGGGUAGGGGAGCGUUCUGUAAGCCGUUGAAGGUGUACUGUGAGGUAUGCUGGAGGUAUCAGAAGUGCGAAUGCUGACAUAAGUAACGAUAAUGCGGGUGAAAAACCCGCACGCCGGAAGACCAAGGGUUCCUGUCCAACGUUAAUCGGGGCAGGGUGAGUCGACCCCUAAGGCGAGGCCGAAAGGCGUAGUCGAUGGGAAACAGGUUAAUAUUCCUGUACUUGGUGUUACUGCGAUGGAGGGACGGAGAAGGCUAGGCCAGCUUGGCGUUGGUUGUCCAAGUUUAAGGUGGUAGGCUGAAAUCUUAGGUAAAUCCGGGGUUUCAAGGCCGAGAGCUGAUGACGAGUCGUCUUUUAGAUGACGAAGUGGUUGAUGCCAUGCUUCCAAGAAAAGCUUCUAAGCUUCAGGUAACCAGGAACCGUACCCCAAACCGACACAGGUGGUCGGGUAGAGAAUACCAAGGCGCUUGAGAGAACUCGGGUGAAGGAACUAGGCAAAAUGGCACCGUAACUUCGGGAGAAGGUGCGCCGGCUAGGGUGAAGGAUUUACUCCGUAAGCUCUGGCUGGUCGAAGAUACCAGGCCGCUGCGACUGUUUAUUAAAAACACAGCACUCUGCAAACACGAAAGUGGACGUAUAGGGUGUGACGCCUGCCCGGUGCCGGAAGGUUAAUUGAUGGGGUUAGCGCAAGCGAAGCUCUUGAUCGAAGCCCCGGUAAACGGCGGCCGUAACUAUAACGGUCCUAAGGUAGCGAAAUUCCUUGUCGGGUAAGUUCCGACCUGCACGAAUGGCGUAACGAUGGCGGCGCUGUCUCCACCCGAGACUCAGUGAAAUUGAAAUCGCUGUGAAGAUGCAGUGUAUCCGCGGCUAGACGGAAAGACCCCGUGAACCUUUACUGUAGCUUUGCACUGGACUUUGAGCCUGCUUGUGUAGGAUAGGUGGGAGGCUUUGAAGCGUGGACGCCAGUUCGCGUGGAGCCAUCCUUGAAAUACCACCCUGGCAUGCUUGAGGUUCUAACUCUGGUCCGUAAUCCGGAUCGAGGACAGUGUAUGGUGG